UCAAUCCAUGUUGCUGAAAUAGUGAAUGACAAGCUCAGUACUUCCAGGACAGUUGUCAUUCGCUUUUUGGAAGCUGAUGCAACUGUUGAACGAAUAACAGCAAAGGUGAAGGAUGCAUUAGGCUGUGAUGAGCCAAUUACCCUGACAGACAGCCAAGGAAAUGAAAUAGUGGACUCAGAUGGCACAAGAAGUUCCCAAUACUGGAAACAGAACUCCAGAAAAAUCUACGCCAUCUCUGAAUAUGACUUUGUAGAGUUCCAGAAUGGAAGAAGAGCUAAAGCAAGUCGAAGGGCUGAAGACAGUUUGAGUGCACAAGAGGUCAUUGGUAAAAUUAACCAACUAAAGCAAGCUGCAGAGAGCCUCCAAGACAUC